AUCGUACGGGAGGCAGCAGUGAGGAAUAUUGGACAAUGGUCGGAAGCCUGAACCAGCCAAGUAGCGUGCAGGAUGACGGCCCUAUGGGUUGUAAACUGCUUUUAUGCGGGGAUAAAGGAGCCCACGUGUGGGCUUUUGCAGGUACCGCAUGAAUAAGGACCGGCUAAUUCCGUGCCAGCAGCCGCGGUAAUCGAU
rnacentral:rRNA from 1 species